rnacentral:rRNA from 1 species
GACGAACGCUGGCGGCGUGCUUAACACAUGCAAGUCGAACGGAAAGGCCCUUCGGGGUACUCGAGUGGCGAACGGGUGAGUAACACGUGGGUGAUCUGCCCUGCACUUUGGGAUAAGCCUGGGAAACUGGGUCUAAUACCGAAUAGGACCACGCGCUUCAUGGCGUGUGGUGGAAAGCUUUUGCGGUGUGGGAUGGGCCCGCGGCCUAUCAGCUUGUUGGUGGGGUAAUGGCCUACCAAGGCGACGACGGGUAGCCGGCCUGAGAGGGUGACCGGCCACACUGGGACUGAGAUACGGCCCAGACUCCUACGGGAGGCAGCAGUGGGGAAUAUUGCACAAUGGGCGCAAGCCUGAUGCAGCGACGCCGCGUGAGGGAUGACGGCCUUCGGGUUGUAAACCUCUUUCACCAGGGACGAAGCGUAAGUGACGGUACCUGGAGAAGAAGCACCGGCCAACUACGUG